GACAGGAAAUGGCACUUUAAUAGUUGGGGCCAGGGUGACAGGACCAAGAUGGGGUCAGUGGCAGGAGCCACCCAGAAGCCCCGCAGAUGACGGAGCUGAGAACAGGGACUUCACCUCCACGUGUUGCCAUUUCCUCACUGGAAAGUCCUUGGGAGGUGGCUGGGCUCAGCCUGAGCUCAGGGCUCUUCGGUGGGGGUUGGGGCAGGGGCAGGGCGGGCACUUGCAGGUGGCACAGGCUUCAUCAAGGCAGGACACGGGCUUCAUCAAGGCAGGAGCCACAGCGCCCGAGCCCUGGCAGGGGAGGUAAGGCCCAGGAUGGGGCAGGGCCGUGUGCUCCUGGAACGGACAUCCUUCUCUGCCAGAGACCUGCUCCCCAAGCCCUGUCCCUCCCAAUCCCCAGGCAGCCCAC
ensembl:lncRNA novel transcript